GGAGGUCAAAAUUCAAUUUAGAAAAGUUGUGCCAUGUCAGCAGCCCUAGCCAACCAGAACACGCCAUGUGGCAAAGAAGCUGACGCGGGAGGCCACGCGGGACGGAGCCACGUGGGCAAUCCGCAUGCACGCGAUUGAACGGUCCAGAUCUCAUGCGUAUGGACGGCCCAGAUCUCACGCGCACGGACGACCCAGAUCUCACGCGUGCGGACGGCCCAAAUUGAAUCACGCACACUUAGAAUUUUUAAUACAUACAUUUUUUUUAAAUUUCCGGGGCCGUUACAAAACUUGCAUUAGUUCCUGUGAUAAA
rnacentral:lncRNA from 1 species